CGGGUGAGUAACGCGUGGGUAACCUACCCUGUACACACGGAUGACAUACCGAAAGGUAUGCUAAUACAGGAUAAUAUAUUUGAGAGGCAUCUCUUGAAUAUCAAAGGUGAGCCAGUACAGGAUGGACCCGCGUCUGAUUAGCUAGUUGGUAAGGUAACGGCUUACCAAGGCGACGAUCAGUAGCCGACCUGAGAGGGUGAUCGGCCACAUUGGAACUGAGACACGGUCCAA
rnacentral:rRNA from 1 species